GUUGGGUAAAGCUCGGCUCUGCUUGUUAUCAAGAAUAAAAAUGAUCAAAGGAAGUCAGUGGCAGAGACAGACAUGGACUCCGCUGCCCAGCAUCCAAGCCACUAAUGCUGCCCUUUGCCCACUGGGGUGUGGAGGAGAUGGGGCACAGCCUGGGGUUCAGCGUGUGCUGUCCACAGCCAUGCAACUGAGCAGUACAGCUCCCCUCUGCCAGCCUCCAGGAGCUCAUGAGAGAAAGAGGGACCUUACCCCAAAGCCAGGCAGCAUUGGAGUGACCAUGUUACGUCCAGAGGAUCUUUAGUUCUGCCCCCUGUGGUCUCUGUUAUAAGAAAAAACAUUUUCUUCAAUUUCCCAAAUUGAAGAAAUCCCCGAUUUCUGAUAAUUCUUUCUUGCUGGAAUGCUUUCGCAAACUAGUGAAAUUUUUUUUCAUUUUACAUGUCCAUCUGAAUGUGAUGUGCAUGUUUGUAUGUUUGCAUGUGUAGGGGCGCACACAUAUGGGUGCAUGCACACAUGUGUGUGCCUGUGUGUGGAGGCCGGAGGCUGAUGUCAGGAGGCAGGCAUUCUGAUAGCUCUUCCACCUUAAUCAUUGAGGCAGGGCUCUCAGUCAAUCUCAGAGCUCAUAGAUAUGGCUAGUCUCUCAAGCCAGCUUGCUCUGGGUAUGGAUUACUGCCACCUUCCCAGACUAGAAUUACAGAAGCCAUCUUGGCUGCACAGCACUUACUUGUGUUGUAGGGAUCCAAACUCCAGUUCUCAUACUUGAGAGGCAAGCGCUUAACCACUGAGCCAUCCCCCCAGCUCCUCAAACUGGAAAAUUCUUUAUGGAGACUUUGUGUAUCCCCAGACCACCUACCCAGGCAGGACUGCAUCCUGUUGCCCUGUGGUUGUUAUAAUUAAAGGCUAUGAUUAUCCUCCCUCUCCAUGAGAAAAUACAGGUAUGGUAAAGACCCCUUGUCGACCAGCAUCAAAUCCUGGUCAUAGGCUAUGCCUCUCACUGACGUCAUCAUCAUCUCCUGAAACUGUGGCAAAUAUCAGCCCCCAAAACAUAGCCCCAUCCCUGUUAAUUUACAUGUACAUGCUGGAAGGUGUCAUUGAAAACACAUGGUCCCAUCUGUGGUUCUUUGUGAAUGGUACAUCUGUAUUUGCCAUUGUUUGAUUGCUUUGUCCCGAAGCCCUGGUGUAAUGGUAUUAGGAGGUGGAGGAAAGGUAAUGCUGGAGAUUGAACUAAGAUCUCAGUGAGCCAGGCAAAGCCAGCUCUGCUGCCCCAUACUCCCAGCCCAGUAGGUAAGACACGAAAUGCAGAUGAGAACACAGAGAGGAUGCUGCUGCUCCCCAGACAUCGUGUGGAUUCUCUCAGGACUAGUGAGUCUGGCUUCAGAGUCCCUGCUCUCAACACAACGCUGGCUCUAUUGCUUCUUACAGCACGGAGGGUGGGCGUUUCAUUGAUUGGUUUGUCCAGCUAUUUUAAGUCAUACUAAUUUCUUCUCUUGAUCUUCCCUUUGUUUGUCUGUGGUUUUGAACUUGUGUCCACUUGCCAACAGAAGCCUCACAUCUUUGGAUCACAAGAGUCUGUAAGCAGGUAGAAGGCUGGACUCAGGCUCUGUCCCCUGCUUGGUCCAGGUUUUACACUGGGGAAAGGACAAGCCUUCUCCUUCCCCUAAUCUCUGUGUGUAUCCACUGGGCCCAGGCCAGUCCCAAAGAGGGUUAGCUCAGAGGAACUUGCCUCUGCAGAGAAUUAAGGGUGGUCAGCAGGCCCAGUGAUGAACAACGCAGCAAGGCCAUUUCUGAUUCCAAGUAGGGCUGCCUCUGAGGAAGCAAGUCCAACUCCCUGGAGAGCCCAAAGCUCUUUCGAUGCAGAAGGCACAGAGGGAGGUGUUCUGGCAAUCACAAUGACUCAGUGUUUGGGAACCAGAGCAGGGAGCAGGCGGCAGCGUGUGACAAACGGAUGGCACAGCCUGAGUCAGGAGGCCUGUGGGCGGCAGGCUGAGGAAAGGUCACGGAUGAGGUCAGAUGACAGUGGGAGUGUCAGGGGGAGCAGCAGGGUUGAGAGGGGAGCAGCUUUGAGAAGGAAAGAGUAUGGAGCAGCCUGCAGGGAGCCUGACUGGGGAGUGUCUGAGGGGGGCACGCACAUGCCAGUAAAGCAGGCUGAGGACCGAACAAAGCAUGGUUUUCCAGAGGCGGACAUUUCCAAGGGGUUCAUUCCACCUCAGUGGGCCAAGACCUGUGCCAGGGGUGACAAGAAAGCAGCAGCUGGCCAAGGCUACUGUGAAGGAUGCCGCUGAACAGAACGGGCAUAGUCACUCCCCAUUUCUUACGCCCCUAAACCUUCUAGCUUGUCCAGUGGGUAGGAGUCUAGCAGAAGCAAAUGGGGGUGAAGCAGGCUCUUUAACACGGGGCCAGGGGACAGAGCCAGCCAUCAGUCAGGAGCUGGAGCCUGUUGCUGCUGCUUGUUACUCUGCUGAUUUUCAAUUAUCAGAGAGAGAAUAUCCCCAUCACUCCCUGUCAAUCAGCCAGUGCUGUCCCAGCACACAGAAGAGCUCGAACAAACAGGCUGCACAUUGCAAUCGACUCUUCUUGUCCUGAGAGGCUGCGGAGCCCGGACACGGCAGGCACAGGGGACAGUGAUCAAGGGCCAGCUCUCAGUACCUUUCCAGAGUCUAUGCCAAUGUCAUUAAAGCACCAGCAGGGGCUCUUGGGGGUCCAUGCAAGCUGUCUCAGAUUAAACCCCACCCCCAAAAUGGAAGCUCUAGGAUGGGGGAUCAAGCCCAAAUUACUUGUUUGGGAAAAAACAAAAACAAUGCUGUGCACCCUCAGCCGUGUUCCCAACCUCUCUGAGCUCAGUCUCUGACACGUGACAGAAAUUUUCCCUUGAGAGGGUUUGUAAAACUGAAAGGAGGUACCUGGAAAAAAGGCAAGUGCUGAAAGUUUGGGUGCUAUGACAGGUUCCUGUGAGAGUUCAGGGCAGACUGGAAACCCACAGAGAAAGGCCUUCCCUGGGAUUCAUCCUGACCCCCAGGCUCUGAUUUUCAGGCUGUCUCUAGUCCCAGGUCUCUAGCUUCCUGCAGGAAGUCUGUCAGUUCUACCCAAAAGACUGUCCUCCCUGACCUAUAUGUCAUCCAGGUCCCAUGAGGCCCGCUCAAUGGCUAGUGGUGGUGGGGGAGGAGGGAGACAAGCCUUUUGUGUCUGUUGGCCUUUAAGGACCCCACUUGUUUGUUGAUUAGCUGGCUAUUUCACCCCAAACCAGAAGCACCCAGCAGGCAAUGUUGACAAACAGGAGACUACCACAUGUCAAAGACACAGCCUGGGGGAUCUCAGCCUCCAGAAUCCAGCUGGGAUACGUUGAGUCUGACUGUGAGUUCAUCUCUGACAAGCUACCCCAUGGCUACGGGAACUUCAUUGGAUGUCAGACCUAUUGUCUACCUUUUGGGUGUCACCAUGGCAACUGAGUUCCCCAAGAAAAGGGCCUGGGCUGAUGGUUAGUACUCACUGAAGGUGACGUUAAACUGAAAGGAUGGCAGGGUGGAUGGCCUGAAGGGGCCAGAGCAUGAGGGUGCCAGAGGUGUUCAGAGACAUCAGGACCAUCCCGGAAACUGCCUUUCUCAAAGGCUUCAUCUACCCCUCCUCAACAAUACCCAAAAGGGUCACUGCAAUGUGACAGCUAAACUGUCACAGCAAAGUUGACAGUGUCAGGCCAAGCCUCCCAGGACCCCAGUCAGGCCUGACCCCUAACUACACCUGACUAUGGGUACAUUCUUUUAACCUCCAACACUUAGGUUGGCAUGUGCCUGGCACAUCUCACCAAACAAGCUCCAUCUAUCCAUUGAAGAAAUGGAAGACCAGGGGGGCCUUUGACCUUGACCAGGUGGCAUGAGUAGGGUGCCCUACAAGCUGGUGGGAAUGUAUGGUUGACCCACUUUUGCAGUGCUCUGUCCUGGGACACUGACGCAGGCAUGGGGUAGAGGGGAGUCUGGCGGGGCAGAAAAGCUGGAACUCUGGCUGCAUCAGGAACCCGGCCCACUCCUCAAAAACUGCCCCUUCCUCCAUGCAGAGCCUUAUCCGUCGGCCCUCACUCAGGGGCCUUCUUCCACUCCCCACCCCUCUGCACCCCGGACCUGCAGCAAUUGCUCCUCUGCCUCCUCGGGGUCCCUAGACCUGGUCACUGGGCAUGGGGGUCUUGACGAGAGGGGGUGUAGCUAGUGCAGGAAUACCACCCAGGCAGAGGGGCGGCUGGGGAGUGUUUUCUUCAUCUCAACCAACGCCUAUCAAACCUCUGCUCAUUAGGAAACACAACAUGCAUGCCAGGGUGACAUCUUCAUCUGCGUGCCCAGAGACUUCAAAGCCUGCAGGAGAUCUCCUUGGUGGAUUAGACAUGAAAAAUAUUGGGAUGAGAUGGAGAGAAGAAACAGCUGGCUGCUCCAAGGGAGUUAAUUAAGCAGGGGCCAGGGACCAAGCAGGAUGGGAUGGGCACUCAGGGACAGAUAGGGGACUCCCAGGCAGCUUCCCAGCAGGCCAGUGGGCUACCAGUUUACAUGGCCAUAGCUCCUAGGUCAUCUGGUGGCUAGAAACCUCCCACCCUACUAGCCAGGGUCACAGGAGUGAAGCAGGCCUGGCGGAAUAGGAGAGCUUGACUAGGUGAAUCCUCAACCUGAUAGGACCUGACUAGACCUACACUGCAGCCCACAACACAGGUCGAGCCCACAUGGCAAUGUGCAGGGUAGAGAAGGGGACCAGGUAAACCCCAGAGGUGCUGCUGUGCUUAGCAGGUCAGAGGCAGAAUUAGUCACAGCAGGGGCAGGAGGCUGGGUGUAUACUUCAGACAACCAGGGAUGCCAGGGGCGGGGUUGCUAGGGAACAGGCAGAACAGACCGCAGCUUCCAGCACAGGGACACACAGGAGAGCUGGGGGUGGAGACGGCAUCUCCAGCUGUAGGACCAUAAACAUGGCUGUAGAGGACAGGUAUGGGGGAGCAGGAAAUGUAGGGAGAACGCUGAAGUGGACUGUGGUUUACUGGGAUCGAUGGCCACCAGGUGACCUGAUGAGACAAUCAGAGGUUAGCCUUACUCUGCAGCUGAAGCUGAUCUUGAACUUCUGACCCUUCUACCUCUACCUCCACCUUCUGGGGUUAAAGAUCGUUGAAUAAUGAACACUGGUGAAAGCCCAGCAUCAUCCAUAGCAAGCCUGGUCCCCACAAGGAGCUCUGUGGUGGUUUCUCCUGAUGGAGUGGUCCUGGGCAACUGAGAACUUUCUGUUGUCACCCCUUCCUGAAAAGGACAGUGCAUCCCUCACCCAGAGUCUGUGCACUGUAUCCUGGGUCUGUCAUCUUCAUAGCUGCUGUGGAUGGAUGGAUGGAUGGAUGGAUGGAUGGAUGGAUGGAUGGAUGGAUGGUGUAAGAUAUUGGUAAAUUGUUAGAUGUUGUUUAAGCUCACUAAGAACUGUCUCUGGAAGCAUGUUGGUCCCUUCCCACUUCAGGCCCAAACAUGUUUAUGUCACAUGCCCUCUAAGACUGACUGUCAACCUGAUUCCGGCCCUGUCUCUGUAACAAAUAGAGAAGUUAGCAAGCAGCUACAGGUAUUAAAACACUGUGUCUUUGUGACCAGCUAGAUGAUCAACCAUUUCCAUCCAAGGUGUCACUACUGUUUAUCCCAUAGAAUAAAAGUUCCUGUGGUGGAACCCAGAAACUACAAGCUUAGCCACCAAGAGGACCCUCCACCAAGACUCUCAAUCAGGAACUCCAGCUGACUGCUUCGAGUUCCAACUGGAUCUUCUGAGCACCACAUUUUGCUAUCUAUCUGCUGCUCUGUGAUCUUUUACUUUUCCUUGCUGUACAACUGGACGCACUCAUCCCCACUAUCUCACAGCCACUGUGAGUCAUUCUCUACGUGGCACAGAGCAUCUGGAUGGAGGGCUGGAUAUGUGGAUGGAGCCCAGGGAAGGUAGAGCUACAGAGGAGAGUCAUGCUGAUACCCAGACUCAUUUGAGCCAUGGAGCCUACAGUACCUGACCCCUUCCCCUAGCAAUUCCCUAGGCGGCAGAUGGUACCUUCCCUUGGGAAUGUAUAUUUGGGGAGAAAAUAAAACAGAAGAUUGAGAGGAUUCUACAAGAAACAGGGUAGGGGCUGGAGAGAUGGCUACAUGGUCAAGAGCACUUAGUGCUCUUCCAGAACACCCGGGUUCAGUUCCCACUGCCUACAUGGCAGUUUACACCCCUUUGUAACUCCAGUUCCAGGGGAUCUGGUACCUUCUUCCAGCCUCCAUGGCUAUCAGGCACACUUGUGAUGAACACACAUAGAUGCAGGUAAAACACUCAAAAUAAAACAAAAUAAAAUUUAAAUUAAAGAAAAAGAAAUGAGGUGUUUCCCAACCCCAGCGCCUAUGGCAACUGGGCAGUGCCACAGAUCUGGCCCCAUCUCCCAGUGCAAACAUUUCCGUGCAGCCCCCAGCCACCAGUGAGGGGCAGGACUCAGACCUCCUGUCUGCUAGCUGGCAGCUCCAAGAACCCUUAGCUUCCCCGCUUCCUACCCUGUGCCAGCUCCUGCUCAGCCCUGCUGACUGUGCUAGAGGCUGCCUUUCUUUUGUUCAGGCCCAUCGUCUUUCGUAAUUAGAAAAUAAAUUACUUUUUCUCAAAGAAGCAGUCCUAGCGCUAGAGACGUGGAUAAGAGGGAUAAGCGGUAGCAGGCGGCCGCAGUCUGACAGGUACAGAACUGGGGCCCUAUCAGCCUGUCCAGGCGUUGGAGUCCCACAGACAAGAGAGAGGAGUGGGGGGGGGGGCUGGCAGUAGAGGGGGCCCAAAGCAUGGGCACAGAGGCAUACCCUUUGUGUUAGCAGCACUAUCCAGAGACAAGAAAACAAUCCAUACAUCUCUGAGCGAGCUGCUCUGGGCUCCGAUUCGGUGGGAUAAGGGUUUAACCCCUCCCCCCUCAACCCGCACCUCUUGUGUGCACAAAACAGCUUUUGAGAUCAAGGCCCUCACUGAGGCUGCUGUGCCCACUGUGUUCCCACACCUCCUUGUUCAUGUUCAGUGGCCAUGCACUGGCCUUUGCCCUGGCCAUCCCUAACGCCCAGGGGCACCCUCAGCAUUGCUCCAUUUACCCAACCAUUUGUUGACCGCCCUUCCCACUCCGAGCUCUUACAUGCCUCCCUCAUCCAAUUUUUCUCUAAACCUUUUUUUUAAGGAACCCCUCACCUUCCCCAUCUCGGGGAAUAGCACCUCUGUUCAGAUGAACGAGGUUCCUGGAGAGCCAGUGUGAAGUAGGUACCUCCAGGCUGCACAGCUAGCUCCCUGCUCCAAACCCCGGCAGGCAAGCAUCCUGCAUCCAGAGGGACAGCAAGAAGGAGAAGGUGGGAGAGGUUCAAGCUCCUCUAAACAAGGAAAAGCAGGGGUUAUGUCAGCAUCAGGCACAGCCCACACAGUAGAUGUGUGAUGGUCUCCACAGAUGAUGCCAACACCCACGUCCACUUAGAGAGUGUGAGCUGCUUCCCCCACAAGUGUGUUUCUCUCCUAACAAGCCGAGAUUCCCAACUCCACCGCAUAGAUGGCAUAUGCCGACAAAUACCACCAAUGACAUGGGGUGGAGCUGAGCUCUGAGCCCACAGCAAGCAGCCAAGCCCAGGCCUUAAUUCAUAUCCCAAGGAUCCCAUUACUGAUUCAGAUGGUCCCCGCAUGAGUAUGGAGUCACUCUCCUGCGGUCCCAGUGCUCAGAGCUGACAAGAGAUGCAUUGAUCCCAGGUGAUCCAGGCCAGCAGAGACAGCAUAGUAGGAACCCAUCUCAAGAAAACAAAACUCGGGCUAGCGAGAUGGCUCAGUGGUUAAGAGAGCCGGCUGCU